rnacentral:rRNA from 1 species
CCUACGGGUGGCAGCAGUGGGGAAUAUUGGGCAAUGGGCGCAAGCCUGACCCAGCAACGCCGCGUGAAGGAAGAAGGCUUUCGGGUUGUAAACUUCUUUUAUCAGGGAAGAGUAUAAGACGGUACCUGACGAAUAAGCCACGGCUAACUACGUGCCAGCAGCCGCGGUAAUACGUAGGUGGCAAGCGUUGUCCGGAUUUACUGGGUGUAAAGGGCGUGUAGCCGGGUUGAAAAGUCAGAUGUGAAAUCCUGCGGCUUAACCGCAGAACUGCAUUUGAAACUGUCGAUCUUGAGUACUGGAGAGGUAGAUGGAAUUCGUAGUGUAGCGGUGAAAUGCGUAGAUAUUAGGAGGAACACCAGUGGCGAAGGCAGUCUGCUGGACAGCAACUGACAGUGAGGCGCGAAAGCGUGGGGAGCAAACAGGAUUAGAUACCCCAGUAGUC